rnacentral:rRNA from 1 species
AAAGCGCACGUAGGCGGCUUUUUAAGUCAGGGGUGAAAUCCCGGGGCUCAACCCCGGAACUGCCCUUGAAACUGGGAAGCUAGAAUCUUGGAGAGGCGAGUGGAAUUCCGAGUGUAGAGGUGAAAUUCGUAGAUAUUCGGAAGAACACCAGUGGCGAAGGCGACUCGCUGGACAAGUAUUGACGCUGAGGUGCGAAAGCGUGGGGAGCAAACAGGAUUAGAUACCCUUGU